AACGAACGUUAGCAGCGCGCUCAACACAUGCAAGUCGAACGAGAAAACAACCUUCGGGUGUGAGUAAAGUGGCGUACGGGUGAGUAACACGUGGAUUAUCUACCUUUUAGUGGGGGAUAACCCUGGGAAACCGGGGCUAAUACCGCAUAAUCUCGCAAGAGGAAAGCAGCAAUGCGCUGAAAGAGGAGUUCGCGGCUGAUUAGCUAGAUGGUGGGGUAAUGGCUCACCAUGGCGAAGAUCGGUAGCCGGCCUGAGAGGGCACACGGCCACACUGGCACUGAAACACGGGCCAGACUCCUACGGGAGGCAGCAGUGGGGAAUCUUGCACAAUGGGGGAAACCCUGAUGCAGCGACGCCGCGUGAGCGAUGACGCCUUUCGGGGUGUAAAGCUCUUUCGACGGGAACGAUAAAGACGGUACCCGAAGAAGAAGCUGCGGCUAACUACGUGCCAGCAGCCGCGGUAAUACGUAGGCAGCAAGCGUUGUUCGGAUUUACUGGGCGUAAAGAGUGCGUAGGCGGUGCUCCAAGUUUGGCGUGAAAUCUCCCGGCUUAACCGGGAGGGUGCGUCGAAAACUG
rnacentral:rRNA from 1 species